rnacentral:rRNA from 1 species
CCUACGGGUGGCAGCAGUGAGGAAUAUUGGUCAAUGGGCGCGAGCCUGAACCAGCAAAGUAGCGUGAAGGAUGACUGCCCUACGGGUUGUAAACUUCUUUUAUAAAGUAAUACAGUGAGGCACGUGUGCCUUUUUGUAUGUACUUUAUGAAUAAGAAUCGGCUAACUCCGUGCCAUCAGCGGCGGUAAUACGGAGGAUCCGAGCGUUAUCCGGAUUUAUUGGGGUUAAAGGGAGCGUAGAUGGGAUGGUAAGUCAGUUGUGAAAGUUUGCGGCUCAACCGUAAAAUUGCAAUUGAUAAUGGCAGCCUUGAGUACAGGUGAGGUAGGCGGAAUUCGUGGUGUAGCGGUGAAAUGCUUAGAUAUCACGAAGAACUCCGAUUGCGAAGGCAGCUUACUAAACUGCCACUGACAUUGAUGCUCGAAAGUGUGGGUAUCAAACAGGAUUAGAUACCCCAGUAGUC